GAAGUUGCCCGUGUCUUUUUCG
rnacentral:miRNA from 2 species